UACGGAGGGGGCUAGCGUUGUUCGGAAUUACUGGGCGUAAAGCGCACGUAGGCGGCUUUGUAAGUUAGAGGUGAAAGCCCAGGGCUCAACCCUGGAAUUGCCUUUAAGACUGCAUCGCUUGAACAUCGGAGAGGUAAGUGGAAUUCCGAGUGUAGAGGUGAAAUUCGUAGAUAUUCGGAAGAACACCAGUGGCGAAGGCGACUCGCUGGACAAGUAUUGACGCUGAGGUGCGAAAGCGUGGGGAGCAAACAGG
rnacentral:rRNA from 1 species